rnacentral:rRNA from 1 species
AUUGAACGCUGGCGGCAGGCCUAACACAUGCAAGUCGAACGGUAACAGGAAACAGCUUGCUGUUUCGCUGACGAGUGGCGGACGGGUGAGUAAUGUCUGGGAAACUGCCUGAUGGAGGGGGAUAACUACUGGAAACGGUAGCUAAUACCGCAUAACGUCGCAAGACCAAAGAGGGGGACCUUCGGGCCUCUUGCCAUCGGAUGUGCCCAGAUGGGAUUAGCUAGUAGGUGGGGUAACGGCUCACCUAGGCGACGAUCCCUAGCUGGUCUGAGAGGAUGACCAGCCACACUGGAACUGAGACACGGUCCAGACUCCUACGGGAGGCAGCAGUGGGGAAUAUUGCACAAUGGGCGCAAGCCUGAUGCAGCCAUGCCGCGUGUAUGAAGAAGGCCUUCGGGUUGUAAAGUACUUUCCGCGGGGAUGAAGGGAGUAAAGUUAAUACCUUUGCUCAUUGACGUUACCCGCAGAAGAAGCACCGGCUAACUCCGUG